UACAGAGGUGCCCAAGCGUUGUUCGGAUUCACUGGGCGUAAAGGGUGCGCAGGUGGGUUUGCAAGUUCGAUGUGAAAGCCCCGGGCUUAACCCGGGGAAUGGCAUUGGAUGACUGCAGAUCUGGAGGAUCGGAGGGGGGACUGGAAUUCGUUGGUGUAGCAGUGAAAUGACGUAGAUAUCAAGAGGAACACCAGUGGCGAAGGCGAGUCCCUGGACGAUACCUGACACUGAGGCACGAAAGCUAGGGGAGCAAACAGG
rnacentral:rRNA from 1 species